AGCAUUAUUAAAUAUCACAACUACCAACUUGAAAAUUGGAUCGAGUUGAAUCCGAAAAGUUGCAAAAUGGACAAGUUCAAAAUCUUUAUGCUUUUUGCCGUUUUUAUGACUGUUACCGUUGCAAAUGGAGCGAAAGUCCCCAUAUCAGUCAUAACCCAUCGUUAUUUAGCCCCAUUUGAGUGCAACCACAAUUGUCGUACCGUGUGCAAUGGAGACCACUGUUUCAUGGGAGGCUGCGUAGGGCAGGUGUGUUACUGCGGUAGUUGCAGGGAUACGAAAAAAGCCUAAUUGUCAUUUAUAACUUUCGUGCAUUAAACAAGUUUUAGUAAACAUACAAUUGAACCAAGAUCUUAGAAUAGGCAUGGAGGACAUUUUGGAAAUGUGAUUAUGCCUUACUGGUCAAGCUUGUAAAAUGGGAUAAUCUACUAGAUAUUCAUAAUAGAAUGUCAUUUUGGGAACUACACCCCUUAUUUUGCAAUGUUCAAUAGUUGAUAGAGUAAAGUGAAAUUCAAAAUCUCCGUACAGUUGA